rnacentral:rRNA from 1 species
GACGAACGCUGGCGGCGUGCUUAACACAUGCAAGUCGAGCGGUAAGGCCCUUUCGGGGGUACACGAGCGGCGAACGGGUGAGUAACACGUGGGUGACCUGCCCUCAGCUCUGGGAUAAGCCUGGGAAACUGGGUCUAAUACCGGAUAUGACUCCAUGACGCAUGUUGUGGGGUGGAAAGCCUUGUGCGGCUGAGGAUGGGCCCGCGGCCUAUCAGCUUGUUGGUGGGGGGAUGGCCUACCAAGGCGACGACGGGUAGCCGGCCUGAGAGGGCGACCGGCCACACUGGGACUGAGACACGGCCCAGACUCCUACGGGAGGCAGCAGGUGGGGAAUUCUUGCGCAAGUGGGACGAAAGCCUGACGCAGCGACGCCG